UCAUCUAAGCGCAUUACGUCCUUUUUCCAGUUCUCUUCUUCCUCUCUCUUUCACUACUUGGUAGGAGUAAUUUUUAAAAAAAUUCUAUAUCUCUUUGAUGGUGAGUGUUUCUGCAAUUUUCUUCGUUCAUUGCACUUUUUUGGAUAUAUGUUAGUUUCAGCUCUCAGUUCUGAGGGAUCAGCUGAAAUAACCAAUGCCCUAAGUGAUGAUUCAGGUGUUCUUAAUUUGUGAUUGAAGGUUUCCAGCCUUCAUAGGAUUGCUGGCACCAUGGAAGGUUAGUCAACUUCGCUCCACAAAAUAUUAGUAUUUGUCAGAUCCAUCACAAUUGAUCUUUGUUAGGAUCAGCAAUAUGAGAUGAUUGUAUGAUAAGCUUGCAGAAAAUCUUAGUCUCAGUUUUAUGCAGUGUAAUGUCUAUGUACGGUAUUUAAGCCUGAAAUUAUCAGUAAUCUUUAGCAGCUUGAAAAUCACAAUGAAGAGAACUUGGUUAAAAAUGUUCCUAUAAGUAACUAUGCAAAUUGAUGUAUAGUUCAUCAAUUAGUUCAACUUCUACAGUCAAUGCAAGAAAAUUAGGCAGUCGAAUGAGAUGCUUAGCAAUAAAUUACAGUAGCUUUUCUAUAAAGGCCUUUAUUGCUUAUCUGCGAAUACACUUAGGAUCACAAAUUUAUAAUCAGUUCCACAAACGAGCCAUAAAAAUUUAUGUUACCUUCUUGAAAAAAAGGAGGUAUGAAGAUUUUCCAUGACUUCAUAUUUCAGGUUAGUUCUUGACAUAGUCUAAUGAAAGAUGGUAACAUUGUAGCCUUCCAGUUGUGAGAGUGCACAAAAGAUUAAGGACGACCAAAUCUCUCCCUCCCUCCCUNCCCCUCUCUCCGUGGAUAUUUAGUUUCUCCCAUGUGAACUCUUUCCUACAUGCUAUCUGGUUUGGCAUCGUCAAAACAUAUACACAAUAAACAAUUAAACAUCACAGUUAGUAUGGUAGGAUAGAUUAUCAAACAUUAUAGUGAAUAUAGCUUGUAAUAUUUAUGUACAUUAACCAAUAUUGUAGGGAUAAGUUUCAAAGGAGAUACUUAGAAUGAAUUUAUUCUGCAAAACUUUGCACUUGAACGUGUGUAUAGGUGUUUUGUGCAUUUGUAAUUUUUUAAGUUGGUAUGACAUCAAAUGACAAUGGAUUGUACAACUAUGAACUCGUGUUUUCUACUGCCCUUAUGCUAAGUAUAGUGAAUUUAAUGCUAAAAACUUAUUCCCCUGAUUUCAAACACAUACUUUUCUGGCAAGCUAAAGAACGAUAAUCUUGUUGACAAGAACGUCACAGCAUUUUUCAUGAGUUGAUGGAGUAAUUGCUCUCGUGACGGGAAAUUCUUUUUUCGUUUCUACACAAGAGGAAUAAUGUACUACGGGAGCUUUAACGUUUUAAGCAUUUCUUGGCAUUACUACAGAAGGAGAGUUGUUUGAAGGCUACAAUCAAAUUGUGGCUGAAAGGAAAUUCACAUACGAACCUAUUGGCCAACAUUAUGGGAAUCAGAAGCGAAGACGUAUGGUGAGCUUUGUGGUCAAAUAAGUUUGUGAAACAAGGAGAAGAAAAGUUACAGAAAAAUUGGUUCUUCUGUAUUCAAAUGGACUCAAUGAUUUGGUAAAAUCUAUUUCCUUCUUAACAUGUGCAACAAUCUCUCUCUCCGUAUUGCAUGUACCGAUGAGUUGAAGAACUGGAAGUGGAAAAGAUUAAGAGGUUUAUUAAUUUGUGUUCGGAAAGUGAUAAUUAUGUUGGCCAGUUUAACAUUGUUAUUAAUCUUAGAUACUAAUUAUUUUUUA